CGAAGAUCUUCAAGCUUGGAGGAUGCAGGAUGGAGGAUGGAGGAUAGAGGACAGGCCACCAAAAUGGAUAAAAAACUGUGCAGGCCAAAACAAAACAAACAGCAAGCCAAGAGCCAUCUUAAACGACAGGCGGUGCUCAAGCACACACAGAUCCAGCCCAACUUCAGAUUCAGCUAUGGCUACAGCUUCAGUUUGGCUCCGGCAACUGCAACUCCAAUAAAUAGACCUCGCUCGCAAAAUGUAACAAAGGAGUUGCGCGGAAAAAAGUUGCCCAACGGGCGGUGGAGAAGGAUGAGGAGGAGAAGGAGGAGGAGGAGAAGGAGGAGGAGGAGGAGGAGGUGGCCAGUCUCGAUCUCGGUUUUAGACCAAGUCCAGGCCAAGCCUAUGCCUAGCGCCCACUUCCUACUUGUGGCUGCACGCUGCCCAUGCCGACGAAGCCUCCACUUAGAAGCUGCACCACCGAGAUUUGGUUGUCGUUUGGUGCCCGUGCCCCGCUUCAAUCGCUUGCCAAGCUGACUACAGUGGCUAUUGACUACAAAGAAUAGCACAUAUUUAUAUAUCUUAUCUUGUUUUAACUAAGGUAUAUUUGAA